rnacentral:rRNA from 1 species
UACGUAGGGGGCAAGCGUUGUCCGGAAUCACUGGGCGUAAAGCGCGUGUAGGCGGAAGGGUAAGUCGACUGUGAAAGCGCCUGGCUUAACUGGGCGAGGUCGGCCGAAACUGCCCAUCUGGAGGCCGGUAGAGGGGGGUAGAAUUCCCGGUGUAGUGGUGAAAUGCGUAGAGAUCGGGAGGAAUACCUGUGGCGAAGGCGGCCCCCUGGGCCGCGCCUGACGCUGAGACGCGAAGGCUAGGGGAGCGAACGGG